AUACAGAGGGUGCAAGCGUUAUUCGGAAUUACUGGGCGUAAAGCGCGCGUAGGCGGAUGAUUAAGUCAGUUGUGAAAGCCCUGGGCUCAACCUAGGAACUGCAUCUGAUACUGGUCAUCUAGAGUUUAAGAGAGGGAAGUGGAAUUCCAGGUGUAGCAGUGAAAUGCGUAGAUAUCUGGAGGAACAUCAGUGGCGAAGGCGACUUCCUGGCUUAAAACUGACGCUGAGGUGCGAAAGCGUGGGUAGCGAACGGGAUUAGAAACCCCAGUAGUCC
rnacentral:rRNA from 1 species